AGAGUUUGAUCAUGGCUCAGAAUGAACGUUGGCGGCGUGGAUUAGGCAUGCAAGUCGAGCGCGAACCGUAGCAAUACGGGGAGAGCGGCGAAAGGGAGAGGAAUACGUGGAUACCUACCUCAGGUUCAGGAUAGCUAUGGGAAACUAUAGGUAAUACUGAAUAAUAUCUCCGGAUCAAAGGUGUGAUUCCACCUGAGGAGGGGUCCGCGUCCUAUUAGCUAGUUGGUGAGGUAACGGCUCACCAAGGCGAAGAUGGGUACGGGAUGUGAGAGCAUGAUCCCGCUCACUGGGACUGAGACACUGCCCAGACACCUACGGGUGGCUGCAGUCGAGAAUCUUCGGCAAUGGGGGAAACCCUGACCGAGCGACGCCGCGUGCGAGAUGAAGGCCUUCGGGGUUGUAAAUCGCUGUCAGUGGGGAGGAAAUGCCAGUGGGUUAUCCCAUUGGUUUGACCUAUCCGCAGAGGAAGGACGGGCUAAGUUCGUG
rnacentral:rRNA from 1 species